GAUGAACGCUAGCGGCAGGCUUAAUACAUGCAAGUCGUGGGGCAGCAGGGUUGUAGCAAUACAAUCGCUGGCGACCGGCAAACGGGUGCGUAACACGUACGCAACCUUCCCGUUCUGUGGCAUAGCCCAGGGAAACUUGGAUUAAUACCACAUAUUAUAUAGAAGGGGCAUCUCUUUUAUAUCAAAGCUUCGGCGGUAACGGAUGGGCGUGCGGUUGAUUAGGUAGUUGGCGGGGUAACGGCCCACCAAGCCUACGAUCAAUAGCUGAUGUGAGAGCAUGAUCAGCCACACGGGCACUGAGACACGGGCCCGACUCCUACGGGAGGCAGCAGUAAGGAAUAUUGGGCAAUGGACGAAAGUCUGACCCAGCCAUGCCGCGUGAAGGAAGAAGGCGCUCAGCGUUGUAAACUUCUUUUAAAUGGGAACAAUAACCUCGACGCGUUCGGGGCUUGAGGGUACCAUUAGAAUAAGCACCGGCUAACUCCGUGCCAGCCGCCGCAGUAAGAC
rnacentral:rRNA from 1 species